rnacentral:rRNA from 1 species
ACGAACGCUGGCGGCGUGCUUAACACAUGCAAGUCGAACGAGACGAUGAAAGCUUGCUUUGAAAGUCGAGUGGCAAACGGGUGAGUAACGCGUAGACAACCUGCCGCAAAGAUGGGGACAACAGUCCGAAAGGACUGCUAAUACCGAAUGUUGUCAGUUUCUCGCAUGGGAGACUGAUUAAAGAUGGCCUCUACUUGUAAGCUAUCGCUUUGCGAUGGGUCUGCGUCUGAUUAGCUAGUUGGUGGGGUAACGGCCUACCAAGGCGACGAUCAGUAGCCGGUCUGAGAGGAUGAACGGCCACAUUGGAACUGAGACACGGUCCAGACUCCUACGGGAGGCAGCAGUGGGGAAUCUUCCGCAAUGGGCGAAAGCCUGACGGAGCAACGCCGCGUGAGUUGAAGAAGGGUUUCGGCUCGUAAAGCUCUGUUGACGGGGACGAAUGUGCGAAAUGCGAAUAGUUUUUCGCAAUGACGGUACCCGUCGAGGAAGCCACGGCUAACUACGUGCCAGCCGCCGC